GCAGAAGCUGCAAAGCCCGGGCGCCGGAGCGCCAAGCCCGGGCGCCGGAGCCCGCGCGGGGGAGGCGCGGCGCGGUCAGUGCGGUUUCUUGAGCUACAUGCUGAAGGAGAGCUGAUGGCUUGAUCUGACCGCAGGUGAAAGGUAACAGCUCGUUCUGCAGGGGCUAUGGCACGGCAAAGAAAAUCCAGGCCGGCUUUGGUGAAUUCCUUGAGUUGGGGAGAACAGUUGCAGAACAAGUCCUGGAGAAGAGGGAGCUGCUCAAGUAGAGAACUCCAGAGAUCUUCAGAGAGUGCUGUCCAAGCAGUCACCCGGAAGCCAACCAGCAAGGGAACUACCCAAGCCCGAGGAAAGAACAAACCUAGAGAACCAGAACGCAAUGGUAGCACUCACAUGGGGCUCGGAAUGGCACCUGUUGAACCAGCACAGAUAGAAAACUUCAUGACUUACGGAGCAUUGCGUAUUGUACCGAGAAAUCUUGUCUCAGUCCUGGGGAAUGAUUAGCCCUCAUCAGAGCACUGCUGCAGCCUGCCUAUCAAAUCUUAAGAGCAAGACCUUCCCAAAUCAAAAUACUUCAAAGUAACUAAACUGUACCCACAAACAAAGGCUAAGAAUAUUUAUAAAAAUCCACCCAACAAAGUAAGUAAAAUUUAUCAUAUAUGUUUGGCAACCAAUCAAAAAUUAUCAAGCAUGAAAAGAAAUAGAAAAAAAAAAACCUCAUAACUAGUGGAAACUGCAGCCAACUUUAUCUUCUGAGAAUGGAUUUGGACGUCAGCAUCAGAAGACAAGGACAUAAAGUGAAUAUCCUCGUAUCUCGUAUGUUCACCAUGUUAAGUAGAGACAGGAAAGAUCCAAACAAAGAAAACAACAACAACAAAACAACCCAAAAACCGCAAAGCCACAUUGAACUUCUGGAGAUGAAAAUGGCAGUGUCUAAAUGUUUGAGAAGAAAAAUACACUGGAUAGGAUUAAAAGAUUAGAUAUGAUGUUGAGUACAUGGCCAUGAAUGAAUACUCGUCCAAAUGACAAACACAAAGAGAAAAGUACUAAAAGCACACAGGAACAAUCACAGUACCAGCAGCAGCCUGGAGCCCCGGAGCAACAGAGCAGUCUCUACCUGGCCUGCUAGGGCACUCCUGCCCCAGCUCAGCUGGACUUCGGUGGGGAAGGGGCUCACAGGGAAGACCAGCAGUGGCUGCUGGAAGCUUCUGAGGCAACACAAAAACCUCCUCCCUCCCUCCCUCCCUCCCUCCUCUCUCCCUCUCUCCC